rnacentral:rRNA from 1 species
AUGCAGCAAGAGCUUGCCGCCCUGGCGUACCAGUCGGCCGGUUUCGUCGGCCUCCCCACGUCCUACCUGCCGCCGCACCCGCACGACGUCGAUGUCGACCUCGUCGACGGGUGGUUGGUCGGCGGCAGCGCCGGGGCUGGCGACAAUGGCCACGGCCCGCCGUCGUGCGGCAGCGGCCUGAGCCACGUCGCCGGCGCCGCCGCGGCAGUGAGCGAGACGAGGAAGGCGAGGCGGCUGGCGUCGAACCGCGAGUCGGCGCGGCGGUCGCGGAUGCGGCGCCGGAGGCAGCUGGACGAGCUGUCGGCGUGCGCCGCGGAGCUGCGCGCGGCCAACCAGCGGCUCGUCGUGGAGCUCAACCGCGCCGAGGCCAGGCACGCGCAGGUGGCCCGGGAGAACGCGCGGCUCCGGGAGGAGCUGCGCCGCCUGCGGGAGAGGCUCGCCGCCGAGGAGGAGACCACCGAUCGAGACGCCGGCGACGAGGCCGCUGCCGCAAGAACGCCGUAG